ACUAGGUAUGGUGGCACACACCUGUAGUUCCAGCUACUUGGAGGCUGAGGCAGGAGGAUCACUUGAGCCUGGGAGGUUGAGGCUGCAGUGAGCCAUGAUCACAUCACUGUACCUCCAGCCUAGGCAACACAGUGAGACCCUGUCUCUU
rnacentral:SRP_RNA from 1 species